rnacentral:rRNA from 1 species
UACAGAGGGGGCAAGCGUUAUUCGGAAUUAUUGGGCGUAAAGGGCGCGUAGGCGGCCAUUCAAGUGACGGGUGAAAGCCCUCGGCUUAACCGAGGAACUGCCUGUCAGACUGGAUGGCUUGAGACCGGGAGAGGUGAGUGGAAUUCCCAGUGUAGCGGUGAAAUGCGUAGAUAUUGCUCGGAAGGCCGGAGCCGAAGGGGCCCAACUGGUACGCAACUGACGCUGAGGCACGAAAGCGUGGGGAGCAAACAGG